rnacentral:rRNA from 1 species
CAGUAGCCGCGGUAAUACGAAGGGGGCUAGCGUUGCUCGGAAUGACUGGGCGUAAAGGGCGCGUAGGCGGCUUGUACAGUCAGAUGUGAAAUUCCUGGGCUUAACCUGGGGGCUGCAUUUGAUACGUGCGGGCUAGAAUGUGAAAGAGGGUCGUGGAAUUCCCAGUGUAGAGGUGAAAUUCGUAGAUAUUCGCAAGAACACCAGUGGCGAAGGCGGCUCACUGGCCCGGAACUGACGCUGAGGCGCGAAAGCGUGGGGAGCAAACAGGAUUAGAUACCCCCGUAGUCCCUGUCUCUUAUAU